GACGCACGCUGGCGGCGUGCCUAAUACAUGCAAGUCGAACGCAGUGGGGACGGGUGAGUAACACGUGGGUAACCUACCAUAAGAGGGGAUAACACUUGGAAACAGGUGCUAAACCGAUACUGAUGGAUGGACCCGCGGUGCAUUCUCUAGUUGGUGUGGUAACGGCUAACCAAGGCCACGAUGCAUAGCCAACCUUAGAGUGUGAUCGGCCACACUGGUACUGAAACACGGCCCAGACUCCUUCGAGAGGCAGCUGUAGGGAGUCUUCAGCAAUGGACGAAAGUCUGACCGAGCAACGCCCCGUGAGUGAGGAAGGUUUCCGGUUCGUAAAACUCUGUUGUUAGAGAUGCGGUAUCUAACCAGAAAUCCACGGCUAACUACGUGCCAGCAGCCGCGGUAAUUC
rnacentral:rRNA from 1 species